CGCAUUGAUUAACACCUAGCACAAGGAACUGUCAAUCUUAUCUUCAGCCUCAAUAUUCCAAUUAUUGGAUCGCUUUACCUAACAAUUAAUAUAUACUUUUGGAAGCCGAUUGUUUUUCAUUCCCUAUAAUGCAAAACAUAUUUCGAAGAACAUCAUCCUGUAUUCUGGUUGUGGUUUUGCUUGCCAUGCAUGACAAUCAAUUUUCUUUUAUUUUCUCCAUCUCACAUUCCCCCCAAAUUAAGUAUAGUUUGCUGCUUCAGUUCAUCCAUAUUUAAAUAAGUUCCACUUUGUAAUGAAGUAAAGGCAAUAUCCUAGCCUAUUUCGACCUUAACUGUUUGUUUUAAAGUUUGGAAAAUUUUCUUUUUAAUUAAAUCACAAAGUUUG